UAUAAUUCAGUGGUAGAGCACUUGCUUGCCAUGCAUGAAGCCCUGGGUUUGAUACCCAGUA
rnacentral:tRNA from 1 species